ACACACGGAUAACAUACCGAAAGGUAUGCUAAUACGGGAUAAUAUAUUUGAGAGGCAUCUCUUAAAUAUCAAAGGUGAGCCAGUACAGGAUGGACCCGCGUCUGAUUAGCUAGUUGGUAAGGUAACGGCUUACCAAGGCGACGAUCAGUAGCCGACCUGAGAGGGUGAUCGGCCACAUUGGAACUGAGACACGGUCCAAACUCCUACGGGAGGCAGCAGUGGGGAAUAUUGCACAAUGGGCGAAAGCCUGAUGCAGCAACGCCGCGUGAGUGAUGAAGGCCUUCGGGUCGUAAAACUCUGUCCUCAAGGAAGAUAAUGACGGUACUUGAGAAGGAAGCCCCGGCUAACUACGUGCCAGCAGCCGCGGUAAUACGUAGGGGGCUAGCGUUAUCCGGAUUUACUGGGCGUAAAGGGUGCGUAGGCGGUCUUUCAAGUCAGGAGUGAAAGGCUACGGCUCAACCGUAGUAAGCUCUUGAAACUGGGAGACUUGAGUGCAGGAGAGGAGAGUGGAAUUCCUAGUGUAGCGGUGAAAUGCGUAGAUAUUAGGAGGAACACCAGUUGCGAAGGCGGCUCUCUGGACUGUAACUGACGCUGAGGCACGAAAGCGUGGGGAGCAAACAGGAUUAGAUACCCUGGUAGUCCACGCUGUAAACGAUGAGUACUAGGUGUCGGGGGUUACCCCCUUCGGUGCCGCAGCUA
rnacentral:rRNA from 1 species